AUGGCGAGUACGUACAUGCAAGCGUGCAGUGCAUCAAAGGAAGCAUCAAUGGCCGGCGCCAGGUGCGACGAGAGGCUCGUCAUACACCACGUGGCCAACGGCGGGUGCUUGGACGACUUCAACAAGGCGAUGACAAAGUGCCGCGCCCGCUACACUGCCGAAUCGACACGACUCGACAGGUUGCUCGGCAAUCGUGUGGUGGACGUGGAGGCGUGCGUCAAGGCCACGGCGGCGCUGCGCAAGUGCUUUGCUGGCAACCCCGCGGUGUUCAAGCACCAGUACCUCCGCCGCAUGGACGAGGGCCUCGACGAGGACACCAACGCGUCGCCGGACGAUAUUUGGAGCGAUGAACGUCACAUGUUCAGGUGGUGGACUGGCAUGAGGAGAAGCUAA
rnacentral:rRNA from 1 species